rnacentral:rRNA from 1 species
GACGAACGCUGGCGGCGUGCUUAACACAUGCAAGUCGAACGGAAAGGCCCUGCUUUUGUGGGGUGCUCGAGUGGCGAACGGGUGAGUAACACGUGAGUAACCUGCCCUUGACUUUGGGAUAACUUCAGGAAACUGGGGCUAAUACCGGAUAGGAGCUCCUGCUGCAUGGUGGGGGUUGGAAAGUUUCGGCGGUUGGGGAUGGACUCGCGGCUUAUCAGCUUGUUGGUGGGGUAGUGGCUUACCAAGGCUUUGACGGGUAGCCGGCCUGAGAGGGUGACCGGCCACAUUGGGACUGAGAUACGGCCCAGACUCCUACGGGAGGCAGCAGUGGGGAAUAUUGCACAAUGGGCGGAAGCCUGAUGCAGCAACGCCGCGUGCGGGAUGACGGCCUUCGGGUUGUAAACCGCUUUCGCCUGUGACGAAGCGUGAGUGACGGUAAUGGGUAAAGAAGCACCGGCUAACUACGUGCCAGCAGCCGCGGUGAUACGUAGGGUGCGAGCGUUGUCCGGAUUUAUUGGGCGUAAAGGGCUCGUAGGUGGUUGAUCGCGUCGGAAGUGUAAUCUUGGGGCUUAACCCUGAGCGUGCUUUCGAUACGGGUUGACUUGAGGAAGGUAGGGGAGAAUGGAAUUCCUGGUGGAGCGGUGGAAUGCGCAGAUAUCAGGAGGAACACCAGUGGCGAAGGCGGUUCUCUGGGGCCUUCCUGACGCUGAGGAGCGAAAGCGUGGGGAGCGAACAGGCUUAGAUACCCUGGUAGUCCACGCUGUAAACGGUGGGUACUAGGUGUGGGGUCCAUUCCACGGGUUCCGUGCCGUAGCUAACGCUUUAAGUACCCCGCCUGGGGAGUACGGCCGCAAGGCUAAAACUCAAAGGAAUUGACGGGGCCCCGCACAAGCGGCGGAGCAUGCGGAUUAAUUCGAUGCAACGCGUAGAACCUUACCUGGGUUUGACAUGGAUCGGGAGUGCUCAGAGAUGGGUGUGCCUCUUUUGGGGUCGGUUCACAGGUGGUGCAUGCCUGUCGUCAGCUCGUGUCGUGAGAUGUUGGGUUAAGUCCCGCAACGAGCGCAACCCUUGUUCACUGUUGCCAGCACGUUAUGGUGGGGACUCAGUGGAGACCGCCGGGGUCAACUCGGAGGAAGGUGGGGAUGACGUCAAGUCAUCAUGCCCCUUAUGUCCAGGGCUUCACGCAUGCUACAAUGGCUGGUACAGAGAGUGGCGAGCCUGUGAGGGUGAGCGAAUCUCGGAAAGCCGGUCUCAGUUCGGAUUGGGGUCUGCAACUCGACCUCAUGAAGUCGGAGUCGCUAGUAAUCGCAGAUCAGCAACGCUGCGGUGAAUAAGUUCCCGGG